UCCGGGGCGACCCUGCCUUCGGGCGGGGGCUCCGGGUGGACACUUCAAACUCUUGCGUAACUUUGCAGUCUGAGUAAACUUAAUUAAUAAAUUAAAACUUUUAACAACGGAUCUCUUGGUUCUGGCAUCGAUGAAGAACGCAGCGAAAUGCGAUAAGUAAUGUGAAUUGCAGAAUUCAGUGAAUCAUCGAAUCUUUGAACGCACAUUGCGCCCCCUGGUAUUCCGGGGGGCAUGCCUGUUCGAGCGUCAUUUCACCACUCAAGCCUCGCUUGGUAUUGGGCAACGCGGUCCGCCGCGUGCCUCAAAUCGACCGGCUGGGUCUUCUGUCCCCUAAGCGUUGUGGAAACUAUUCGCUAAAGGGUGUUCGGGAGGCUACGCCGUAAAACAACCCCAUUUCUAAGGUUGACCUCGGAUCAGGUAGGGAUACCCGCUGAACUUAAGCAUAUCAAUAAGC
rnacentral:rRNA from 1 species